AAGACAGAUAUAGAGAAAUUGUUAAAAAAUCACAGCAAGGAGCUGAAAGCUCACACCCGACGAUGCUAAUAAUCUUAAUAUGCGUAUUUUUGGUGAUACUAUUAUGCGGUGUGUCCAUUGCCCGUUU